GGGCUUGUGGUUUAGUGGUAUAAUACUCCCUUAGCAUCUGCUGGUCCUCGUCCGAGGAGCACACGAGAAACUGGGAGUGGUCCGGGGUUCGAUUCCCCGCGAGUCCA
rnacentral:tRNA from 1 species